GUCCUACGGGAGGCAGCAGUGGGGAAUAUUGCACAAUGGGGGAAACCCUGAUGCAGCGACGCCGCGUGAGUGAAGAAGUAUUUCGGUAUGUAAAGCUCUAUCAGCAGGGAAGAAAAAAGACGGUACCUGACUAAGAAGCCCCGGCUAACUACGUGCCAGCAGCCGCGGUAAUACGUAGGGGGCAAGCGUUAUCCGGAUUUACUGGGUGUAAAGGGAGCGUAGACGGCGCGGCAAGUCUGAAGUGGAAGGCAGGGGCUUAACACCUGAACUGCUUUGGAAACUGCCAUGCUA
rnacentral:rRNA from 1 species